UUAAGAGAGCUCAACAUCUACUCAAGUUUUAUGUAAUGUACAGGGCACCCGCUGAUUGCUAUGUCAAUACAAUUGAAGAAUCAAUGAAUUUCCAUUUGCAGAAGAAAAAUAAAAGAAAGCGUAUAAGAAGUAUUGGUUGCCUGUCUAAAAAACUGAAGAAAAGGCUACCCACACAAAGCAGCUGCGUUUUCCCGGCCAGGACUGCCGUGAAUCCAUUGGCUGAAGGCCAGCUCAUUACUCCAGAGUGAGGACGGAGACAGAACACUGGACCUUUCUAGAUAUGAUUCCCAUUUAUGAUGCUACUUCAGUGGAAGGAGACCCCUCGGGUGAUGCCGCAGGAUGCCAUUUGUCUGUGUUUCUGGUGCGGCGCUAGCCCCUUGUGGUGGACCUUGGAAAAUGUGCAAGCAUGAACUGAAUGGUUUCUCAGUCUUAGGCAGCUUAUAUUAGCAUUGUAGUCUAUUGGAUAAUGUAACAAUUUAGCCUAUGGCUAAAUAAAUAAUGCAACCCUCAUAAAAGAGGUGGGGUUUUAAACCAGUGGUGAAAUUCAAAUUUUUUUACUACCAGUUCUGUGGGCAUGGCUUGGUGGACGUUGUGUGGCUUGGUGGGCGUGGCUUAGUGGGCAUUGCAGAGGAAGGAUACUGCAAAAUCCCCAUUCCCUCCCCACUCCUGGUGGAAGGAUAUUGCAAAAUCUCCAUUCCCACCCCACUCUGGGGCCAGCCAGAGGUGGUAUUUGGUGGUUCUCCAAACUACUCAAAAUUUCCACUACCAGUUCUCCAGAACCUGUUACAACCUACUGGAUUUCACCCCUGCUUCAAACCCAUGUUCAUAUAAUGUCAAAUAACACCUAGGUUAGAAAUGCAGUAUUUAUCACAUGGCAGUACUUCUCUGCAGAAGUAUUUCUCUUUUAAUUGUCUAAUAACACAAAAAUGAUUAUGUUUGACUAGCUUUAUGUAGCUUUUGAGUGAAUUCUGUAAUUGUUUUCCUGAAACAGAAAAAUAGUUUUAUAUAAUUCUUUCAAUUAACAUUGAAUUUUAGGAUGAAAAUGGAUCUUUCUUCCAUAGGGAAUAUGGAAAAAUUAUAUGUUCUUUGAAUUCUAUUCUAUUCUAUUUAUUUAGAAGAUUUAUAGGACUGUCCCUCUCAAAAGAAUUUUGGGUGGCUCAGAACACAACAAAACUAUCAAAAACAUGUAACAAAAACUAAAAACCUAGUACCUCAAUCUAUCUUCCAGAGUGUCUCAACUGCUCUCCACCACUAUACCCCAGUGCCUGGGUAAAAUGCCAAAUUUUAAUGACCUUCCGAUAAGCUAAGAGAACGAAAGCCUACCAGAUUUCUAUGGGAAGGGUAUUCCUUGAGGAAGGGCAGUCAAAGAAAAAGCAUG